rnacentral:lncRNA from 1 species
ACGUUGCUUUGAGCGCCUUCUUUUUUUAUGUUCUCUUCUUGGCUUGGGGACAAUCACUUUUGUAGUGUCCCAGCUUUUUGCACUCGUAGCAAAUAACUUGGUCAUUUUUGGGUUCAAGUUUAUUUUUUUUGUCACUUUUAAACUUGUUUCUCUUAAUGAAUUUUUUGAAUUUCCUUGUUAGAAGUGCCAAGUCAUCGUCACAGUCCUCA